rnacentral:rRNA from 1 species
GAUGAACGCUGGCGGCGUGCCUAAUACAUGCAAGUCGAGCGAACGGACGAGAAGCUUGCUUUUCUGAUGUUAGCGGCGGACGGGUGAGUAACACGUGGAUAACCUACCUAUAAGACUGGGAUAACUUCGGGAAACCGGAGCUAAUACCGGAUAAUAUUUUGAACCGCAUGGUUCAAAAGUGAAAGACGGUCUUGCUGUCACUUAUAGAUGGAUCCGCGCUGCAUUAGCUAGUUGGUAAGGUAACGGCUUACCAAGGCAACGAUGCAUAGCCGACCUGAGAGGGUGAUCGGCCACACUGGAACUGAGACACGGUCCAGACUCCUACGGGAGGCAGCAGUGGGGAAUCUUCCGCAAUGGGCGAAAGCCUGACGGAGCAACGCCGCGUGAGUGAUGAAGGUCUUCGGAUCGUAAAACUCUGUUAUUAGGGAAGAACAUAUGUGUAAGUAACUGUGCACAUCUUGACGGUACCUAUCAGAAAGCCACGGCUAACUACGUG